UCCAGCCAGUGAGAGGUCCUGUCCCAAAAGGAGGAUAAAUGGCACUCAAAAUUGUACUUUGGCCUUCACAUGCAUGCACAUCUACACACACACAUAUCUGAACACACAUGUACACAUACAAAGUCUUAGGAAGUAAACAAAGCCCACUGGGCUUGGCCAGCUUUUGACUAUUACAGGAUUUGUAAGCUCCCUGCCUGGGUUCUGUAAGUAGUAACAACUGCCGUGGACAGGAGGCUCUGGCCUGCGGAGCUGCUGCUGCUGUAGUCCUUUCGGGAACAGCAGGCAGGUGUCUUUCAUGAGUUGUCACAUGUUGUGGGGUGGGUUUUCUGGCGAUGACGCUGCCUUGACUCAUCUGUGCUUUGUGGUAAGUAGCCCACGCAAGCUCACUGAGCCACUAGGCAAGACUUGGAUGGAGGCUCCGUGGCUUUGUCACUAGUGCUCUACCUGGAGAGAAUUGCAUUUGUCACGUCCCUCCAGGACUGGAGGUCCUCUCACACAGUACCAAGUCUCUGCUCAACCCAGCAGCUCAAGAAGCCCUGUGGAAAGGAUCUUGUGUAGGCUGUUCCCUCUUGGAAGGCUGUCCCCCAGUGUCCACCAGCUGCUGUCGAAGUCGCAGAGCUGUCUUCUCACUAAGAUGCCCCAUUAGGCACUUCUUCUAAAAUGCCAGCCCUCCUGAGCAAACCCUAGCUUCCUUCCCUUCUGGAAGACCGACCACUAGACCUUCAGAUGGCCUUCCUGAGUUACUGAGUAUUUGUUGGCAGACAGGGAUGCAAGACAAACUCAAAAUGCAUGUGCCAUGUAGGGAAGUUAAAAGACUAAGUCCCUUUGGUGAAGCAUAAGAAUGUGAACUUGUUGAAGCCAGCCCUGGGCAUCUGGCAUGGAAAGAGGUUGCCUGUUCAGCCCACAGUUGCCACUAGUGGGCCAAACCCACAUGUGGAUACCAAAGAGGCAAAGGCUCUGAAUGACCUUCUCCAGACCUGAUGAUAUUAAUUGAUGGGCAGUAUAUUAUUUUUCUCCAUCAAAAGGAGAUUGACCUCAGGGCCUCCUGCCCAUUAGAUCUGGGGAAGUUCAUGUCUUUACUUUGGUUAAACCUCUUUGAAGAGUCCACAGCUGUAAGAGAAGUCUCCCUAGAUCCAGCAAAGUCUCCUGCUAUCAAAUGAUAGUCAUCUUGAAGCUCUGGCAGCUCAAGCAAGUAGAGUCUGUUACCUCAUCACCAAGGCAGCUCCGGAACAGCAGGCUCUCCACACUGCAUAGUUCUGCCGGCUUCCCUUCCCAACUCCAGCACACUCUUUCUAAACUUGCCGUUUAGCCAGACAAUGUAACUGAAACCUGCCGUUGUUUGUAAACUUUUAUGAAAACAAUUUGAAAAUUCCAUCUUUUAAA